UACGUAGGGUGCGAGCGUUGUCCGGAAUUAUUGGGCGUAAAGAGCUCGUAGGCGGUCUGUCGCGUCGGUCGUGAAAACUUGGGGCUUAACCCUGAGCUUGCGGUCGAUACGGGCAUGACUGGAGUUCGGCAGGGGAGACUGGAAUUCCUGGUGUAGCGGUGAAAUGCGCAGAUAUCAGGAGGAACACCGGUGGCGAAGGCGGGUCUCUGGGCCGAUACUGACGCUGAGGAGCGAAAGCGUGGGGAGCGAAUGGG
rnacentral:rRNA from 1 species